CCAGACUCCUACGGGAGGCAGCAGUGGGGAAUAUUGCAAAAUGGGGGAAACCCUGAUGCAGCGACGCCGCGUGAGUGAAGAAGUAAUUCGUUAUGUAAAGCUCUAUCAGCAGGGAAGAAAAUGACGGUACCUGACUAAGAAGCCCCGGCUAACUACGUGCCAGCAGCCGCGGUAAUACGUAGGGGGCAAGCGUUAUCCGGAUUUACUGGGUGUAAAGGGAGCGUAGACGGCAUGGCAAGCCAGAUGUGAAAUACCGGGGCUCAACCCCGGGACUGCUUUGGAAACUGUGUUGCUGGAGUGCAGGUGGGUUAAGCGGAAUUCCUAGUGUAGCGGUGAAAUGCGUAGAUAUUAGGAGGAACACCGGUGGCGAAGGCGGCUUACUGGACUGUAACUGACGUUGAGGCUCGAAGGCGUGGGGAGCAAACAGGAUUAGAUUCCCCUGUAA
rnacentral:rRNA from 1 species